UAGGGGUGUUGGGGUUCAGCUCCCCUCCCCAAGCCCAGGUAACUCUUAAGGUGGAGGCGAC
rnacentral:ncRNA from 1 species